rnacentral:rRNA from 1 species
AACGAACGCUGGCGGCAUGCCUAACACAUGCAAGUCGAACGAGACCUUCGGGUCUAGUGGCGCACGGGUGCGUAACGCGUGGGAAUCUGCCCUUGGGUUCGGAAUAACAGUUAGAAAUGACUGCUAAUACCGGAUGAUGACGGAAGUCCAAAGAUUUAUCGCCCAAGGAUGAGCCCGCGUAGGAUUAGCUAGUUGGUAAGGUAAAGGCUUACCAAGGCGACGAUCCUUAGCUGGUCUGAGAGGAUGAUCAGCCACACUGGGACUGAGACACGGCCCAGACUCCUACGGGAGGCAGCAGUGGGGAAUAUUGGACAAUGGGCGAAAGCCUGAUCCAGCAAUGCCGCGUGAGUGAUGAAGGCCUUAGGGUUGUAAAGCUCUUUUACCAGGGAUGAUAAUGACAGUACCUGGAGAAUAAGCUCCGGCUAACUCCGUGCCAGCCGCCCCGUAACAC